rnacentral:rRNA from 1 species
GAUGAACGCUGGCGGCGUGCUUAACACAUGCAAGUCGAACGGAAAGGCCAGUGCUUGCACUGGUACUCGAGUGGCGAACGGGUGAGUAACACGUGGGUGAUCUGCCCUGUACUUCGGGAUAAGCUUGGGAAACUGGGUCUAAUACCGGAUAGGACAACUUUUUGGAUAUUGUUGUGGAAAGCUUUUGCGGUAUGGGAUGAGCUCGCGGCCUAUCAGCUUGUUGGUGGGGUAAUGGCCUACCAAGGCGUCGACGGGUAGCCGGCCUGAGAGGGUGUACGGCCACAAUGGGACUGAGAUAGGGACCAGACUCCUACGGGAGGCAGAAGUGGGAAAUAUUACACAAUGAGAGCAAGCCUGAUGCGGCGACGCCGGGUGGGGGAUGAAGGCCUUCGGGUUGUAAACUACUUUCGCUAGAGACGAAGCGUUAGUGACGGUACCUGGAGAAGAAGCACCGGCUAACUACGUG